GAUGCCCUACGGGACGCAGCAGUGGGGAAUAUUGGGCAAUGGGCGCAAGCCUGACCCAGCAACGCCGCGUGAAGGAAGAAGGCUUUCGGGUUGUAAACUUCUUUUCUGAGGGACGAAGGAAGUGACGGUACCUCAGGAAUAAGCCACGGCUAACUACGUGCCAGCAGCGGCGGUAAUACGUAGGUGGCAAGCGUUAUCCGGAUUUAUUGGGUGUAAAGGGCGUGUAGGCGGGAAUGUCAGUCAGAUGUGAAAACUAUGGGAUAAA
rnacentral:rRNA from 1 species